rnacentral:rRNA from 1 species
AUGGCUCCCCUGCGUUGCUGGAAUGUCCUAUCUUGGAACAUCAGGGGUCUUAACUCUGAGAAGAAGCAAUUGGCUUUAUCCAACGCCAUCAUUUCCAGUGGUUGUGCGGUAGUUUGUUUGCAGGAGACUAAAAUGCCUGACGUCUCUUUUGCGUUCCUUAAAACUUGUUUCCCCAAACAAUUUGAUCGUUUUGCGUUUGUUCCCUCUCGUGGAUCUUCCGGGGGUAUCCUUACAGUUUGGAAAAGCGCUUUAUUUACGGGCACAAUUAUAUUCUCUGAUGUGUUUGCGUUAGUGGUCAGUUUCGUUAGUACUCAAUCCUCACAAGUGUGGUCGCUCGCCAAUAUCUAUGGACUGUGUGAGGGUGAUGAUCGUGUGACAUUCACUUCUUGGCUUUACGACGUACACAUUCGCAAUGACCAUGACUGGCUAUGA